GAUGAACGCUAGCGGCAGGCCUAAUACAUGCAAGUCGAACGGUGUCUUCGGACAUAGUGGCGCACGGGUGCGUAACACGUAUGCAACCUACCUUACAUUGGGGGAUAGCCUUUCGAAAGGGAGAUUAAUACCGCAUAAGACAGUAGCUGGGCAUCCAGCAGCUGUUAAAGAUUUAUCGAUGUAUGCUGGGCAUGCGUCCAAUUAGCUAGUUGGUGAGGUAACGGCUCACCAAGGCUAUGAUUGGUAGGGGAACUGAGAGGUCAAUCCCCCACACUGGCACUGAGAUACGGGCCAGACUCCUACGGGAGGCAGCAGUAGGGAAUAUUGGGCAAUGGACGCAAGUCUGACCCAGCCAUGCCGCGUGCAGGGUGAAGGCGUUAUGCGUUGUAAACUGCUUUUAUACAGGAAGAAACGACUCUUGCGAGAGGCAUUGACGGUACUGUAUGAAUAAGCACCGGCUAACUCCGUGCCAGCCGCCGCAGUAAUAC
rnacentral:rRNA from 1 species